AACGAACGCUGGCGGCAUGCCUAACACAUGCAAGUCGAACGAGACCUUCGGGUCUAGUGGCGCACGGGUGCGUAACGCGUGGGAAUCUGCCCUUGGGUUCGGAAUAACAGCGAGAAAUUGCUGCUAAUACCGGAUGAUGACGUAAGUCCAAAGAUUUAUCGCCCAAGGAUGAGCCCGCGUAGGAUUAGCUAGUUGGUGAGGUAAAGGCUCACCAAGGCGACGAUCCUUAGCUGGUCUGAGAGGAUGAUCAGCCACACUGGGACUGAGACAUGGCCCAGACUCCUACGGGAGGCAGCAGUGGGGGAAUAUUGGACAAUGGGCGAAAGCCUGAUCCAGCAAUGCCGCGUGAGUGAUGAAGGCCUUAGGGUUGUAAAGCUCUUUUACCCGGGAUGAUAAUGACAGUACCGGGAGAAUAAGCUCCGGCUAACUCCGUGCCAGCAGCCGCGGU
rnacentral:rRNA from 1 species